UACGUAGGCAGCAAGCGUUGUUCGGAAUUACUGGGCGUAAAGAGUGUGUAGGCGGUGCUCUAAGUUCGGUGUGAAAUCUCCCGGCUUAACUGGGAGGGUGCGCCGGAAACUGGAGUGCUCGAGCGUGGGAGAGGAAAGCGGAAUUCCUGGUGUAGCGGUGAAAUGCGUAGAUAUCAGGAGGAACACCUGCGGUGUAGACGGCUUUCUGGACCAUUGCUGACGCUGGGACACGAAAGCGUGGGUAGCAAACAGG
rnacentral:rRNA from 1 species